rnacentral:lncRNA from 1 species
GGAGCCGGCGGGACAGAGACGACGAAAAUAGAGGGAGGCGGCCCGCAGAGAUGGAGGGAGACCCAGACAGGAAUAGUCAGGCCCAGAGACCGAGGGAGCAAAAGAAAGAGAAACGGGACCCGGAGGAAAAGAGAACUCCACAGAGGCUGACAUGGCCGGGGACAGAGGCCCAGCAGAGGACAGUCGCCCAGGCAGGGCCCCAGCUGCCUUAUCACCGCAGGAGCGGCCCCGUGCGAAAGCCACCACCCGGACCCGGCCUCCAGGCUGGCUCCACGCCUCGGCAGCCACGCCUGUCCACACUGCCAGCCUCGACCCUUGUCUCAGUCUUGAGCCCUCCGCCCAGGCGGGGACCAGCCGUGGACUGACGGUUUGGGCUCUCAUCCUCCCCACCUGGCCGAGCCACUGCCCUUCACGCUGACCGCUGCCUCCUCUAGUGGACACAGCAGACCUGAGCCACAGCCAGGCAGCGGCGGAUGGCGCCCUCCGCCCUCGUCUCUCCCUGUGCUGGCUCUGAGGCUGGCCGGGGGUCAGAUGCUCACAGGGACAUCUCCACUUUGUCCCCUUCCCCCAGGCGCCCUGCAGCCCCCUUACCCACCACCUCGCUGUGAACCAGAGACCACCUUCUGCCAACGCUUCUCUCUCCCUCCUUAGGCCUCCCCCAGAGCCCAGGCCGGGCGUCAGGCUGUCCGGCCACCCCCUGGAUGCUCAGCCCUGUGCUCCCUCCACCUGCCGCUCCUCCUCCCUGGGGUCCCCAUCUCACCCCCUGAGCCACAGACUCCGGGAGUCAUGGAGUCACCGCUUUGGGUUCCUGCCUUCGCCUUCUGUUCAUCCUCCCCACCUGACUUCCCAGGUGCCCCCUAAAUGCAUCCGCUUUCACAUCUCCAGGCCUUUGCACAAGCCGUGACCCCCACCUGCGGCUCCUUGUCCUACACUUGGCAAACUUCUAUUGCUUCGGCAAAGCCUCAGCCCAAGUACCCUCCUCCCGCUCGCCCCCUGUGCUCCUUCAGCCCCGGGGUCGCGCACACGCGGUCGUGGGGACGAGGCCAUG